CCAACAUAACUAGUAUUAUUUCCCUCAAAGUGACUUAGCUUCUCCUUUAUUUUCUUUUUCCAAGCAUCCAAUACACACACCUCCAUUCCAUAUUCUUACCACUUGCACAAAAACAUCUCACUUGAGAAGAGAUAUUUUCCCCUUAACAACCUUUCUUCCAUCCUCCUGGCCAGAUCCAUGCCAUGCAUUGGAUCUCUAGCAUGUUUUGCGCUAGGCCUUCGUAACGUAUCACC
rnacentral:lncRNA from 1 species